CUUAACCUAAUCCCUACCCCUAUAUAAUAGUACCUAAUCCCUAAAUUGGCGGGGACCUGGCUGACCAUCAAGCUCUCAGCCGUUUUCUGAUCUAAAAAAUCCUCACACACCUUAAGGAGCUUCUUCUUCAACGCAACACCUUAGAACUAGCGACACCCAUAAGAACGACCACCCUCACUUCCUUUAGAAAUCAAAAAGCCACCAUCCUCCAGAAAAUACUUCAAAUAAACUCCAAAACACCCUAAACAAUCACGAAAAACUCAGCCUUAAAACCAGUUAAAACCAACCCAUAGACCACCGUCGAAGCCAGCAAUUCUGGCAAUGGAACACUGUUUCAAAAGCUGAAAAAUACAGCUAAAACAACUGCAAAAGUAGCUGUGAGACAUCCCCUGUUUCAGUCACGCAAAAGCUACCCUUAUACCAUCACAAAUACGCCCAAAACAAUGCAAAAAUCAGCUUGAAACUGCCAUCCAAACCCAGUAGAGAUGAGUCCGUUCGGGGACACCGAUUUCGGUCCGAGUUUCUGGUCUAUAGCUUACUUGAGGAUUUUCUAUUCUAGAGAUUUUAUUUUCAUUGUAUCUGCUCCAUAAUUUCAGCAAUAGAAGGUCCGUUUCUGUUUUCAAUAUUACUUUCAUGCUUUAACCAUUUUCUAUUAAUUGUUUGUUUAGACAAGAUGUUACGUCAUUUCAUAGAAUGUUAUACAUUCCAAAUUUGAGGCUUUAUGGCUCCUUGUUUCUUAGUGAUGUGAAGUGAUUUUAUAUUAAAGUGUUUAUAUUUCCAGUAGUUGUCCAUAUUUUAACAAUAUAUAGUGCCAAUCAAGGUGCUGCCUAACUGAUUUGAUAGCAUUUUCCAUGAAUCUGCUAACCGACGAUUAUAAUAUCUCCAUCCAUUUAGCACGUUUGGUUGUUUUCUUUUAAUUAUUAUUUUGUUUUUCUUAUUUCAUGUUAGAUAGCUUUGUGGAUUUAUGUACAACUAUAGCUUGUUCGUCGAAUUUAGUUGAAUUGACAGAAUUUAGUUGAUAUUGUUGAUUUGUUUCAUAAAGUUAAUAGUGAUAGAGGAAAAUCACAAUUGGCUUAAAUAAAAGUGUUUCAGGUUUGAGAAUUCUGGAUCCGGGCAAAAUAUCUGCCAGGCCCAACAUCAAUAAACAUAUAAGCCAAGAGGGUUUUACACAUAGAUGAGCUUCUCAAUUACAACAAUGACUAAGUCUUACAUUUUUCCAAUAACCUUUUGUCCAUAAAUCUAUAGCCUUCACAAUAAUCUCAAAGUAAUUUAGGAAAAUAACUCAUGCGCGCGUAGUUGCUUUAGGCACGUUAAUUAAAUUGUCAUAGCUACGGGACGGUUCCCGUAACGUAGUUGUGACGCUUAAUUUCCAAAAUUCGGGGGUACCUUUAUGUGACCCAGCCCACAAUUUAAUCUCAUUAAUAAAAUAAAUACGUUGUGGAUCGUGGGUACUGUUCCCAUGACAUGAUUCACAAAUGUGUAAUCAAUAAUUAGUUGUAUAACAAUUGGAUUAUUAAAAGCGGUUUAAAAGGAAUAAAAUGCACAUUGGUUUCAAGAAUGUAUUAAAAUAAGAUAAUAGGCCAAUUAUAAUAGUUGAGCGACCGUGCUAGAACCACGGAAUCCGGGAAUGCCUAACACCUUCUCCCGGGUUAAUAGAAUUCCUUACCCGGAUCUCUGUGUUCGCGUCCUGAAAACAGAGUCAAUCUUUCCUCGAUUCGGGAUUUGAACCGGUGACUUGGGACACCUUAAAUUAUCCCAAGUGGCGACUUUAAAUUUUAAAUAAAAAAAAUCCUGUUUCGAUCGUCACUUAAAUUGGAAAAAACUCCCUUAUACCCCUUUCGGGUGUAGUAAAAAGGAGGUGUGAUAGCUCUGGAGACUCUGUUGGGGAAACAAACCCAUAAUCUCUGGUUCAGGGUUCAGACUAGCUGGAGUACCAACUGGCUGGCCUCCACCUAUCUGAACAAUAGCUGGAUGAGCUCCCCCUUUCAGCCUCUACCCCUAGAAUGGCCCCUACCCGCCUACCUACCGCGUUUGGGCGGUCGGACGGCCGGUGCUGUAAUCAUGGACUGAUGUCCCUAUUGUACUACCUUGCUCCGAAGUUUGGGACAAAACCUCUUCAUGUGACUUGGAUACCCACACUCAUAACAACCCCUCGGUACCAUAGACUGCUGCCUCGAAGUCUGACCCUGAUGGCUUUAAUACCCAAUGGAAGAACCAUGAAUAGCUGGUGGGCGGUAUGAACUCUCUAGCAUGACACUGAAAUAGGCACUGGAAGAACCUUGAUGGCCUGAGUACCCAUUGGAAGAACCCUGAAUAGCUGGCGGGCGGUAAGAACUCUCUAGCAUAGCACUGAAAUAGGGUCGCGCUGGAGCACCCCGAGGAGGUGGUGGUGUUGGAUAUAUGGGUUUGCUAGGCUGACCCCUCCCAAACUGACCUCUACCCCUAGUUGGGGCACCUCUAAACUCUCCAGAAAAGUGGAACCGCUUGUCCUGCUGCAUCUGCUCUCUACCUCGCUGACGAUAACCCUCAAUCUUUCCAUCUAUCUCGACCACUAGCUUAUUAGAGGUCCCCAUCUCAACUUCCCGGGACAUACUAGCCUAAAUACCAGAGUGCAACCCCGCAACAAACCUCUGCACUCUCCCUGUGUCAAUAGCAAGUAUCAUAAGUGCAUGGAGAGACAACUCAGAGAAUCUCUCCUCAUAAUCGGUCACUGACAUCUGGAUCUGCUGAAGCUGCUCAAACUAACACCACAACUCUUCCCUCUAAGAGGGUAGGAUAUACCUAUCCAAGAAAAGGCGUGUAAACUGGUCCCAAGUCAUGGGAGGAGAGCCUGUUGGUCUGCCGAGAAGAUAAGACUUCCACCAUCUAUGGGCCCUGCCCUCUAGCUGAAAGGUAGUGAAAUCCACCCUGUGGGACUCCAAUAUACUCAUGUUGUGCAGUCUGUCCCUGUACCUAUCAAUAAAGUCCUGGGAGUCCUCAUGUCGCUCACCUCCGAAGACAGGAAGGUGUAGCCUAGUACAUCUGUCCAAAAGCUUCUGCAGCUCGCCGACCGCAACUGGUCUGGGCUCAAGUACGGCUAUUUUUACUAGGUGGGCCCCGCCUACAGAUAGUGCACCCGGGUCUGAUAUAAAACAACUGCAUGACCAGGAGCCUGAGCAGUAGGUGUCUAUGCUCCCCCUCCCAUCUGAGAUGUGGCUGGGUCUGCUGGAAAUAAACCAACCUAGGUGAUAGUAUCCAUGAACUGCAACAUACGACCCAUAACCUCCUAAAAGCCCAGUGCUGACAUGAAAUUGAUCGGAGCUGGCUCUACUAUGGGCACUUUGCCCUGCUCCUCUAUAGUGGGAUCCUCCACUGGAUCUACUGGUGGUACAACUGGGGAAACUUUGGGACGUCCUCGAGCUGGUGCCCUCCCCCAGCCUCUACCUCGGCCUCUAGCAACAUGGGGAGCAGCUCCUCCCGGGUCCGAAACAUCUGUCGUGCGUGUUCUCACCAUCUGUGAGAGACUAAGAGAAAGACACUUAGUAUAAUAUCAACUACACGAUAUGAGAUGAAGAAAGAGUAGUUUCCUAACACCCUAUAGCCUCUCGAAGAUAAGUACAAAUGUCUUCGCACCAAUCCGCAAGACUCUAUUAGGCCUACUCAUAACUUGUGAGACCUACGUGAACCUAGUGCUCUGAUACCACUUUGUCACGACCCAAUUGUAAUACAGGCCGUGAUGGCACCCAACACCGCCGCUAGGCAGGCCAGCAAUGAACUAACCACGUGAUUUCUCAUUUUAAAAGACUUUCCAAGUAUUUAAACUUUCCUUAAUUUGAAAGAUUUAAGAAAUAACAGAUUUAAAAUAAAUAACACGAAAACAACUAAGAGCAAUCAUGACCAUAAAAUAAAACUAAAACCACAAGUCUACUAAUGUGUGCCACAACCUAGUGUCACAAGUGUAUGAGAAUUCUAGUAUAAUAUACAAAAGAAUAUUAGUUUACUAUCUGAAGUGAAAUAGAUAGAAAGAAAUAUAAGAAAAAGAAAGACUCCAGUUGCUGCAGAACGGCUCGGAAGGCAGCUCACCGUGAAUCCUCGAAGUGGUAAUCAAAUGUGCGCGUCAGACUGAUAUCCAGAUGCACCUGCCUUGGAACCUGCACAUUAAGUGCAGAAGUGUAGCGUGAGUACAUAAAUAUCAUGUACCCAGUAAGUAUCUAGUCUAACGUCGAAGAAGUAGUGACGAGGGGUCGACUUCGACACUAACUGUGGGCCAACAAUAUAAUAAUAUGAAAUUCUAAUUAAACAUAAUAUUAUAAAAUGACAAUAGAACUCGGAGCAAGGAAUAAAUAAACAAUCCGUUCACCGUUAAUAACCAACCAUUUCCCUAUUUUAACCAUAACCUCUCAAGCCAAGGAAAACAAUAUCGAAUAUAUAGGGACUUCCAAUAUUAUUAUGCAUGAAUUUUUGCCGAGGAUGGACGGCCCGAUCCAAAUAUACAUAUACAUAUACUAUGUGCAUUGCCGAGGGUCAAACGACACAAACCAUAGAUGCAUCUAUUAACCUGCCGAUGCGAACGACCCAUUCCCAUGAGAGUAGUAGAAAUUUACCCCGCUCGCGGAAUAUACUUGCAACACCGUUAAACAUAUAUUUCUCAAGUUAUCAUAAUAUACCUCAAUUCUUUCAAAAAUAAGAAACUCAACAAGAAGCUUUUAAAAUCUUGAAAUCCUCAACCUCAGCUCCAUUUAAGACAAUUAAUACGCAUAAUCAAUUAACAGUGUCAACAAAGCAUGAUGUAAACCUAAAACUACCCAGACAUAAGCAUGAAUAGUAGCUACAUACGUACUCGCGUCAUCUCGUGCGUACGUAGCCACCACAAAUAGAAGCACAUAUUAAUUAAGUUCACCAAUAUGGUUAAUUCCCUCUUACAAAGUUAGAAAAGAGACUUACCUCGCCUCAAAGCCUACUUUUUAGUCCAAGAUUGUGCCCAAACCCUCAACUCGGUGCCAAACGACUCGAAACUAGUCAAAUAUUAUAUAAAAUAGUCAAUACAUGUUUAAAAGUUCAUAUCCUAACUAUCAAAGUGAUUUCCCAAGCCUAUUUGAAGAUUCCCUAAAAUUCACCUCCGGGCCCACGUGCCCGGAUUCGAAGAAAAUUGUUACCCAUAACCUCAUGAAUUCAUAUAUAUAUAUAUAUAUAUAUGAUUUCUAUGAAAUUCCAUAACAAAUUUCGUGGUUAAAUCUUAUUUUUAUCAAAAACCUAGGUUUUCACCUAAACUCAUGAUUUUCACUAAUUUACAUGUUAAAAUCUACCCAUAAACUAUGUAUUUAACACAAAUUGGUGUAACGACCCGGUCGGUCGUUUCGAGAGUUGUAGCCUUGUUCACCCAUUUUCUACUUCUUUUUUGUUCUACAGUUGUAUUAUGACUUAUCAGGUUAGCUGGUUCGGGUCCGGAGUGAUUUCAGAAUGAUAUGAGACACUUAGUCUCUUAUUUAAAAGCUUAAGUUAGACAAGUUUACAGGAUGUUGACUUAUAUGUAAAUAACCUCGAAUUUGAAUUUUUAUAUUUCCGUUAGCUCUGUUAGGUGAUUUUGGACUUGGGAGGACGUACGAAUUGUGUUUUGGAGGUCUUUAGUAGAAUUAGGCUUGAAAUGCCGAAAGUUGGAAAUUUGGAAAGGUUGAUCGGGGGUAGACUUUUUUAUAUCGGGGUCGGAUUGGAUUUCUAGAAGUUGGGAUAGGUGCGUGGUGUCAUUUAUUACUUGUGUGCAAAAUUUAAGGUCAAUCGGACUUGAUUUGAUAGAUUUUGACAUUGUUUGUAGACUUCGGAAAAUUCAAAGUUCAUUAGGCUUUAAUCCGUGUGUAAUUCGUGUUUUUGAUGUUGUUGGAGGUGAUUUGAAGAUUCGACUAAGAUGUUUGAUUGAGGUUUCAAGGGCCUCGGGUGAGUUUCGGGUGGUUAACGGAUCAUUUUUGGCCUUGGUGAGAUAGUUGAUCUACUGCUGCAUUUCGUUUCUUAUUUCCUCUUACGUGUUCGCGAGAGGGGCUUCACGUUCGCGAAGAGUGUUUAUGAAAUGGUGAAUUUUUGUUCUACGUGUUCGCGAAGGAGAGGAUGCAAACGCAAAGGGUAGGGCAGUGUGUGCAUCACGAAUGCAUGAGUGGUGUCACGUUCACGAAGAGGAGUAAGGCAGUUGGGGACCCCAGGUCCUUGGUCUACGCAUUCACGAGGUGAAGGGCGCAUUCGAGAAGGUUUGAUCUGGUAAAACAUCGCAUUCAUGAAGAAGUUUUCGCAUUCGCGAAGGGUAAUUCAAUGAGGCAGUCUGAGUUGGUCUAAUCGAACAUGGGAGGAUGGUCGCGUUCGCGAAGAAGGAAAUCUGGGCAGACCGUAUUAAUUUCAAAAACGAGGGUUUGAACCCAUUUUUCAUAUUUUGGGCUAGAGAUCACGGAUUUGGGCGAUUCUUUAAGGGAUUUUCAUGGAAUUGAUUGGGGUAAGUGUUUCUUGCUUAGUUUUGGCUAAAUCCCAUGAUUAUAUCUUUAAUUUUAUCAUCUAAUUUGUGAUUUGGGGUGAAAAAUUGGGGAAAAAGAGGAAGUGUUCUUGAGAUGGAAUUUUGAGGUUUUGAAUGGGAUUUUGUUAUCGGAUUUGUGUAAAUUUGGUAGGGUUAGACUCAUGAAUGAAUGUGCUUUCGGGUUUUUUUGCCUUUGUCAGAUUUUGAGACAUGGGCCCGGGGCCGGGUUUUAGCCCAUUUCGAAUAUUUUGCUAUAAUUUGGUAUUUUUCUCGUGGAAUUGAUUCCUAUAGCCCGUAUUGAUUAUAUUGUAUUGCUUGUGUAUAGAUUCGGGAUGUUUGGAGACCGAUUUGAGAGGCAAGGGCAUUGCGGAGUAGGAGUUUUGCUUAGUUUGAGGUAAGUAACGCUUUCAAACUUGGUUCUGAGGGUUCGAAACCCCGAAUUAUGUGUUAUGUGAUUGGUAUUGAGGUGACAGACAUCCUAAGUGACGAGCGUUCGGGCGUGCACCGUGAGAAUUGUGACCUGGUUGAUUCCAUGGUACCGUAUAAUGACUCUAUCCUAUUGAUAUCCGUUCUUUCUUCAUGUGAUAAAGUAAUUGAGCUGUCAAUCAUGCGCAAUAUCAUGUUUAGGCUUUAUGCUGGUACCGUUGAGAUGCUAGUGGUCCUUUCUUGCUGUCAUCUCACUGAUUUUAUUAAUAUUCUGUACUCAGUCACAUUCAUGCAUUUUUUUUAUAUCAUAUCUCAAUCUCAGUUAUUUAUUAAUACAUCAUAUCAUUGUUCUGGGUUAGUUUCAUGACAUUGUGAGCCCAUGGGUGAGACUAGAGAGAUUGAUGACUGAGUGAGGUUGAGAGCCUGAUUAUGAUUGACAGUUAUGGGAUCGGACUACACGCCACAUUGAUUAUAUUAAUUUGUGAUAGCGCUUGGGAUGUAGGAGCCCCUCCGGAGUCUGUAACACACCCCUAGUGAGUGCAGUUGAUAUUAUUGAGGGAUGGAUCUUCCCUGGACAUGGAUCUUGUCCGAAGCAUUUGAUACCUGGAGAUGGAUCUUCUCCAUAGGGCUGGAGUGGCCCUUCCUCGGUACUGAGUGACUGUUAUCAGUGAUGUAUAUAUAUUUUGGGAUGGAUAUUCCCUGGGCCGUAUGAGCCAUAUAUAGUAGUGAGUGGUUGAUUAUUUGAGAGUAUGAGCACAUGAGGCUGAUAGCAUGGUGCAUUCCAUACAGCAUGUGCAUUGGCAUGUAGAAGUAGCAGAGAUAUAUUCUUUACACUAUUUGUAUCUGCUCUCCUUUACUAUUUUGAAUUUCAUAUUAAAUUAAAAGCAUGCCUUCAUUUCUACACAGUUAUUUUUGGUCUUAUCUAUAUCGGUUGAGUUUGUCACUACCUUUCAGUCCAAAGUUUGGGCUCGUUACUUUCUGAGUUGGUGUACUCACGUUACUCCCUGCACCUCGUGUGCAGAUCCAGGCAAUACCGGUCGCAUCAGUGGUUACUGAUUGAGUUUUCAGAGUUUGGAGACUAUCGAGGUAGCUGCAUGGCAUUUGCAGACCUUGACUCUCCUUCUUUAUCUUUUGACGUAUUUUCAGUUUAUCUCUCUAGACAUUGUACUAGACUGUAUUCUGAUCUAGAUGCACAUGUACUAGUGACACCCUAGUUUUCGGCUGGAUUGUAUCGCAUAUUGGGAU
rnacentral:lncRNA from 1 species